rnacentral:lncRNA from 1 species
UUGCGUGCCUUGACCACCGACAACGGGAUUCCAGCCGCCGCCCGAAAGUACUUUCUUGCUUUCUUUUCUUCCUUUUCUUACACAGUCUGUCCUCCCCUUGCUUCCUCUUUCUUUCUCGACACUCCCCACCAAGGAGACCCUAUCUCUUCCCCACCCUUGUAACCGGUUCGUCGAAGGGAGAGUUUCGUCGGUCGCAGAAGGCGUGUGGAGACGCGCGUGUCGGUGUUGCGCUGGGCUGCUCGUAGUCGUCGUCCUCGUCGUCGUUACGUUUCUUCUUUUUCCUGACCUCUCCCUCCCUCGCGACUAUCCCCUCAUCCCCGUUGGAAGCGUGUCUUCUCCACCCUCCCUCGCGUUUCUUUCUUUUCUUUUCUAUUUUUUUUGUUCGUUCAGGAACGCAGCUGCCGCUGCCGCCACCACCGCCGCCGCUUCGGUGGUCGAGAAAUUUUCGCGGAUUCCUCCCUUCUUCUGCCACUCACCUUCUUUUGUUCCACGAACAUUCCAAAAGGGUGGUUCGUCACGGCGGUGGUUCCGCGAGUUGUCCGUGUGCGUGUGUGCGUCCAUCCCUCUCUCUCUCUCUCUCUCGGUAACACCCCCUCCGACUUCCUUUCGACGAUCUUCGAAGAUCGACCAGUGCGCGUUCGGGAAGUCUGACGGGAGGUGUCGCGAAAGAAACGAGACAUCGGUGGUGUCGGUGCAACAUCGGAAACGUGACAUUGAUAACUUACAAUUAGACCCAAAUUUAACUCUCUGUCUCUCUGUCCAAAUCUGCGUGUCCUAGGGAACACUUGUCGGCGGUUGUUUUUUUUUUUUCAAAAUUCCCACCGAUCUCUACGCGAUCACGCACGCUCUAAUCCAUCUCGUUCGAACGUUUGCACGUAAUUCGCGUCAAAGAGAGAGAGAGAGAGAGAGAGAGUAUGGAAUUGGACGUAACGAUGGACAACCGAUCGCAACAAUGUCCUCCUCCUCCUCCUCCUCCUCUUCGAUUCGUGUUUCGAAAAAGAUCAACGACAGACAACGCGUUUCUAUGUCUACUUGUGCACGCUAAAUUACUUCGAGUUUAACAUCAUCAUGUCGAUCGGUUUAUCGUUUGAAUUUAAAGUAAACGCGAAAUACCAAGAGAAAGAACGCCUCACCGUUGGCUGUGGAAAACUCUAAGCAGAGAACUAGUUUUAAGCCAAAGCGUGAUCUUCGAGGUCGUUAUACUAUUGCUAUCAUCAUCCAAGAACUUAGAGAGAUAGAGAAAGGAAUAAAUUGAAGAUGAACAAAAUAACUUGUAAAUCUGUGAAAGAGAAACAGAAAGGAAAAUAAAAAGGGAGAGAGAGAGAGAAAGAAGAGGAACGGAAUACGUUGUUCGCGUACUACGUGCGAGCUUGUUGAAAAACGGACGAUGUUGAGAGAAAGAGAGAGAAAGGGUGAAGGGGACAAGGAGGAGCAAAGAGAA